AGCAGCCGCGGUAAUUCCAGCUCCAAUAGCGUAUAUUAAAGUUGUUGCAGUUAAAAAGCUCGUAGUUGAAUUUCGGGAUCAAUUUAUUGGUCGUGCUAUUGUACGUACUGGUAUAAUCGGUUUCUCCUUUCUGACGAACUAUAAUGCCAUUAAUUUGGUGUUUUAGGGAAUCAGGACUGUUACUUUGAAAAAAUUAGAGUGUUUAAAGCAGGCUCACGCUUGAAUACAUUAGCAUGGAAUAACGGAAUAGGACGUUUGAUUCUAUUUUGUUGGUUUCUAGGAUCGACGUAAUGAUUAAUAGGGAUAGUUGGGGGCAUUAGUAUUCAAUUGUCAGAGGUGAAAUUCUUGGAUUUAUUGAAGACUAACUACUGCGAAAGCAUUUGCCAAGGAUGUUUUCAUUAAUCAAGAACGAAAGUUAGGGGAUCGAAGACGAUCAGAUACCGUCGUAGUCUUAACCAUAAACUAUGCCGACUAGGGAUCGGAUGAUGUUAAUUUUUAAUGACUCAUUCGGCGCCUUACG
rnacentral:rRNA from 1 species